GACGAACGCUGGCGGCGUGCUUAACACAUGCAAGUCGAACGCUGAAGCUUGGUGCUUGCACUGGGUGGAUGAGUGGCGAACGGGUGAGUAAUACGUGAGUAACCUGCCCUUGACCCUGGGAUAAGCCUGGGAAACUGGGUCUAAUACUGGAUACGACAUGUCACCGCAUGGUGGUGUGUGGAAAGGGUUUUACUGGUUUUGGAUGGGCUCACGGCCUAUCAGCUUGUUGGUGGGGUAAUGGCUCACCAAGGCGACGACGGGUAGCCGGCCUGAGAGGGUGACCGGCCACACUGGGACUGAGACACGGCCCAGACUCCUACGGGAGGCAGCAGUGGGGAAUAUUGCACAAUGGGCGGAAGCCUGAUGCAGCGACGCCGCGUGAGGGAUGACGGCCUUCGGGUUGUAAACCUCUUUCAGCACGGAAGAAGCGAAAGUGACGGUACGUGCAGAAGAAGCGCCGGCUAACUACGUG
rnacentral:rRNA from 1 species